CCUUUUGGAGAGAAGUGUUGGAUCAUGUUCUUAGAUUAAUAACUGUCAUCAUUGUCUUGUUGUGGAAACGUUUUGAAAGAGAACAUUGCAUUCCUGAAGUCAGAGUGUGGUUCUUGAUUUCAGUUUUCAUGCACACUCAAGUUCUCCUGGAAAAGGGAAUGUGAACAACGGGAAAUUGCAUCCAUAGAGCCAUCAAGGGUCAUCUCCAGUGUGGGAGGUUUAGGACACAGGUGCACAGGACAACUGCUGCCUCUUCCUUCUGAGCCAGCAACUGUGUGUCCAACUUCACAGACAGGAGGGGAGAUCUGGGAAGGAAAACAUCUUUACUCUCAUGCAUGUUUUGGCUUAUUGCUAACUCUGCCACAGGUCAUUUGGGUUGUGAGAGUGGUCUAUUUGUGUGUGCAGCCUGGCUCUUUUAAACACAGUACUUUCUCCCAGUAAUGGAGACAUAAGAAAAUAGAAAAAGUCACCUCUGGGAGAGAUAAAUUCAGGACCACUCUGUGAGCAAUAGUGUACCCCCGACUCUCUCCAGUAAUCCACUGCUGAUGGUGCUGGCCUGACACUGAGAGAACUUGCUCAUGUGUUUAUUGAUAGAAGUGCUGGGGUACUUUGGGGAAGACUGAGGGCAAAGUUCUCAAGAUGCCAGUGGAUCCUGGUGCUGGGCUGUUGAACUACUGUGGAGUAACUGACUUGUGAAUUUUGUGGGUGUGUUGGAAAAAUCUUUUUGAACUUAUGCAAAGCAGAUGAAUAGGCUUUAAACAGAUAAAAUCAGAUGAAUUCAUAUAACUAGGUCCAGCCUGAGUGUUUGGGGAGUGAGAAUGCAAAGAAGAAAUCUUGAGACAGGUUUGCUAAACAGGGUGUGUUUGUGUGUAUGUGUGCAUGUGCACUUGCAUGGGCUUAAGAACUCUCAUCCAAAUUUCUAUGUGACUUCCAGCACCUGUAUCAGAAAACCUGAUUCUAAUGACAUUCAUUCUCCGCUUCCCAGCAUACCAUCCAUUUCCUCUUAUUUCUGACUGUCAAUAGUAAUGUAAACUUUACUUUUUUUGGACACAUGCUUUUUUUUGUAACGAAGAUAAACAGGGGGAAACUCCAUGAAGAUUUAUUUGGACACUUGAUCAAAACAAAUCUUAUAAUUGAAAACAUUAAUAACUUAUAAUUGUUUAAAAAAUGGAAAUUUGUUUCAUCUUACACAAGUUCUUCUAUUGGCCACUUGGAAUAAAAUUUUAAAACCUUCUGAAUAGGUCAUCUAAAUGUAUUUUUUCUUAUAAAUAGGUUGAAGCAAAAGCAGAUUGCUCUUUCCCUAUUUCCUUGACUUCACUGUGUGAUGUUGCUUAUGAAGGCCAGACACAAAAUGAGGUGUGUGUGUGUGUGUGUGUGUGUGUGCAUGUCUGCACAUAUGCAUACAUAUAGAAUCAGUUUUCUUCUCAAUGAAAAGCACAGGAAUGUGUCCCCUGCUUCUUCUAUGGUUGUGCAGCUUCACACAGCACAAGGUUGUACUCUUGGCUUAGAAUGGAAAUUCUCUCAGACUCCUCCAACUACUUUUCUGGUGAUGGCUUCAGAAUUAUGAUAAAGACAGGUAAUAAGAUGUUUCAUGAAUAAAAGGUCUAAGUCAAAAUUCUAAUUUGGAAAAACUAGUGCAAAGUAGAUUACUUGAUUAAAAUCCAAUGGUUCACAUUCCAGGGUGUUCUUCUGACUUCUACUCUUUAGUAGACACAAAUGCAGCAAAGAUCAAGAUUUUAUUUUAAACAAAAAUUGUUUUAUUUUUUCUAUCUGGAAGUGAGGGGAGAUAGAAGGCAGAAUAAAUCUAUUUGUAAUUUCUUUUCAGGAAAUACAUUAAGCAAUGGGUGAAUAAUUUUAUGUUCAGAGUCUAGAUUACUUUAAAAAAUCUAGGCCAUUUAUAUUUAUUGUACUUAGGGGACAAUCUAAGAAAAUACUAUAAGUAAAGUAUUUCACCCUGCCUUGUCUUACAGUUUUACAUAGAAAUUUGGUUAAAUGAUAGAGGAUGCAUCUAAGGGAAUAAAAUUAUAAAGUGCCAGUGAAAAUAAGAAAAAAAAUUGUAUUUGAAAGCUGCUAAACUAGCUUUAUAAAUGUAAACUCAGUCACUGAAAGAUAAAUAGUAAACAUAUUUUUAUUAUAUACUACACAUGUCUGGUAGCACAUGUAUAACCAUAGUAAUUACUGUCUUAUUAUAAUAAUAUAUAUAUCUGCUAUAAUACUUUCCUUAAUGAAGCAAUGCUUUUUUUUUUUUUUGUAGCCCUUCCUAGUAAAUGCGUCAUGAUUGUGUAAAUGAGCAUCUGUUUUAAGUUAUAGAUGCCUCUGCAGCAUCUUGGGGUUUGGUUGUUUUAGGGAUAGUGAAUGUUUUUACUUUUGUAUUUUUAUACAAGGACAGCUUUUGUAUAAAAAAAGAUUUUUUAUAUAAAAAAUGGGGGAGGGGGUUGUCUCUCCCCAGUUUCAUGGGACUUUAAAAUCUACAUUGUUUUUCUUAUAGUUUAUAAUAGUGGAGCCCAUUACCUCCUUUAGUUAACACUACUUCCUCUUUUCUCCCACAGGGUUCUCAAAGUCAGCUCUGGUGAUUGAAGAAAGUUACUUAUGCUCAGGUGUUUGGAGAAAGAAAAAAAUGUUUCUAGUAUUUCUGAAAAAAUUUUAUUUCUAGAAAUGGGGGUGUAAUCUAUUACCAAAUGCCAUCUGCAAGUCAAGCAAGAUGAUAUUAUGCAUCUUUAAUCAGUUAAAUUUCCAAAUUAUUUACACUUUAAUUCUCAACUUACUUUACAAGGUCUUUGCCAAGUUUGCUUUGAAUUAGAUGACUUUGCUUGAAAGUUUACCAAGGAAGAUGUUUAGGACAGGGAACUUCAAAUUCCUAACCCUGAAGCAUCGUGGAAGAAGAGGAGGUAGUGCAAUUUCUUUUUUUGUUUUAACUCAUUGAAAUAUUUGAUUACAGUUUAUUUUCAUUUAAUAGUUUCAUCUAAAAGAUUAUUUUAGUGGUACCAAAUCCUAGUGAUCAUGAGAGUGUUCUUAUUCCUGCCAGCUAGAAGAUCUGAAAUGCUGUUAUCAGCCAAUAUAUUCUGGAUCCACCAAUUUGAAUAAUGGUCUAUCAGCUUUGGAGAUUUGGAUUUCUUAAGAUUAGAGACAGCUGUGGGCAGAAAGAAAAGUCCACAUUCCCCCACCCCUCCUCUUCCUUCUAACAUUCCCACAGAAAUUAAUAUGCUUUGAGCUGAGCCGACUCAGACACAGAGGAGUCAAAGCCGGAGGAUUUAUUUGAAAAGGAAACCCAAGAAAAAUCCUGACACAUCUUGCAAAAACCUAUUAAAAUCUAAACAUGACUGCAGUCCAAAGCCUGCCUGUGAAGUGUGGGUUGAGGGGAGAUGGUCCAGACCUGGAAACCCUAAAUCUAUUUGUGUUUUUUGCUGAACUUGGGUCUGGCUCCGUGACAUAUAGCAUUAGAUAUUCCAUAAAGGAGAUAAAAUCCAUCCUGGGGAGUAGUUGGACAGGUUGGCUCCUUAUGGAGGUGGUAGGUUUUGGAUGAAAUAUGGUAUAUCCAGGGUGAAGUACCCAAGAGGUGGAGAAUCACUUUUAAAUACCUCCUUCUUGGGCUUUUACUCUUGAAGUCAGUAUCAUUUAUAAACUAUUUAAAGAUGGACAAUUUUAUAUCAGUGAAGAGUUUCUCUUCUUUACUUUUCUCCUUCAAAUGGGAAAUAAAAUAGUAUAGGGGAAGCGUGUUGAAGAAGAUUUUCAAGACCCACUUUCCUGCCUCCAUUUCUUGUGUGCAGUAAAUCAAUGGAGUGAUGCAUGGGAAAAAUCUCCUGUUUCUGUGCAACUGAAAUAAAAGGGAAAGGGAGGAAAAUAACCCAACUGCCAACUGCAUUGCAAUCAUGAGAAGCCACUGUUGGGAAGAAUGCUUUGCUAGUAAAUCAGUGCUGCGCCCCUGCCAAGAGGGCAUGGUGGUACAAAGGGAGGCAUGAAGCUCAAAAGCUAGACAGCUAUCAUGUGUGGCUCCUGACCCUCAGUUAUGGGAGGCUGUCUUUCGGGGUUCCAGCUCUGACAUUGCAAUCCUGGGGCCAACUUUUGGCUCUGCCAUGGGUUGGCUGAAUGGUGUAUUACCCAGUGAGACUCAGCUGUGUCAUUUGUGAAGAAAUUAUUCACAAAGCUGUUAUGGAAAGUAAAGAGGAUGAGGUAUCGAUCUGAGCACAGCAACAUCGCUAAAUAAGAACUUAGUAAAAUGUCAGUGCCUACAUUCUUAGGAAUAUUCACUGGUAAAGAGGAAGUUAUAAAUCUCAGAUGUUAGAAAAAAUUUAUGUGAGUCUGCUUUUCAUGGCUAAGACUGAAAUACCCGACAGGAAGAUGUUAGCUGAGGAAAAGUUUAUGCUGAGUUCACAGUUUCAGAGAUUUAGUCCGUGGUCAGCUGACUCCAUUGCUGUGCACCCAAGAUGAGGCAGAACAUCAUGGCAGAAGGACAUGGCAGAGAGAAGCUCUUCACUCAUGGUGGCCAGGCAGCAGAGAGAAAGAGAAGAGAGGUGUGGAAGGGCUGCAAGGAAGAUGAACCCUUCCAGGGCAUACCCCCAGUGACCCAUGUCCUCACCUACCUACUACUGUUAUCACCCAGGUAGUUCAUUCAGACUAGAUGGACUGAUUAGGUUAUAGCUCACCUAAUGUAAUCAUUUUCACCUCUGAAUAUUCCUGCAUUAACACAGGAGCUUUUGGGGGAACCCUGCAUAUCCAAAUCAUAACAACAUUAUAAUGGAAAUAAUUGUUCCAUAAUAUUUAAAUAUACAGAUGUGAAUAUUUUGUGGAGACAAGAAGAUGUUCUGGAUUAUUAGAAAUGGUGAUGUUUUAACUUUCCAAAUAUUGAUUGAGUAUUCCUUGUCCAAAAUGCUUGGGACCAGCCAAACAAACUUUUGAUUUUGAAUUUUGGAAUCUUGGAAUAAUCAUAAUGAGAUAUCUUGGGGAUGGGACCCAAGUCUAAACAUGAAAUUCAUUUGUUUCAUGUAUAUUUUAUAGAUAAUGUCUGAAGGUAACUGUUCAAUAUUUUUAACAACUUUGUGCAUGAAACCAUGUUUUAUUGUGGGUUUUCUGCUUGUUGUAUCAUGCCAGUGCUCAAAACAUUUUGGAUUUUGGAGCAUUUCGAAUUUCAGAUUUUUAGAUUGAGGAUGCUCAACCUGUAGCUUGGAAAGUAGAUCCUGCAAAAAUACAUUGUGGCCAGGUACAGUAGCACACACCUGUAAUCCCAGUGGUUUGGGAGGCUGAACCAAGAGGAUCACCUGUUCAAAGCUAAGCCUCAGCAAUGGAGAGGCACUAAGCAACUCAGUGAGUACCUAUCCCUAAAUAAAAUACAAAAUAAGGCUGUAGAUGUGACUCAGUGGCUGAGUGCCCCUGAGUUCAAUCCCCAGUACCUGUCCCUCCCACCACAAACAAAACAAAACAAAAUGACAUUGAAAUAAAAACUAGUCAUGACUUCAUAUAAAAUCUGACUGCAGGGCCUGGGGUUAGCCUUUUUCCCUCUAUCAGUCUUUGCUGUUUGACUUAUACUGAGGCUGACUUUCCUCAUAGUCCCAAUGUGGCUGCUGUAGUUCCAGAAAAUGCAUCCAAACACAGUGUCCAGAUGACAAAGAUAGGGCAUCUCACCUUGGUUAAUUUUUCAAAAAGAAACUUAUUCAAAAAAGUAAACUUAAAAAAAAAACAACAAAAAAAGCCAAAAAAGUAAACUUUUGCCAGUCAUGGUGGAGCAUACCUAUUAUCUCAGUGGCUCGGGAGGCUGAGGCAUGAAGAUGGUGAAUUCAAAGACAGCCUCAGCAAAAGCAAGGCACUAAACAACUCAGUGAGACCCUGUCUCUAAAUAAAAUUAAAAAAAAAAAAAAGGCUGGGGAUGUGGCUCAGUGAUUGAGUACCCCUGAGUUCAAUCUCCAGAAUCCUCCCCCCACCCCAAAAAAAUACAAUGUGGCUAAGAAUGCAUUAAAUGGUGAUCUGUGGAUAUUUAGAAGAGGAAGCAGUGUUACUAGAAUCUGUAAGUUUUUGCUAAGGUAAGAUGUAUUCAGUAUGCAAUCCCUCAUGUUUUAUUUAAGCCAACAUGGAAAGAAAUGUAAAACCAAUUACAAAUAGGCAUCACUUAACAAAGGAGAUUGUGUUCUGAGAAAUGUGUUGUUAGGCCAUAUCUUUAUUGUGUGAUCAUUAUAGACAACUUACACAAACCUAGAUGGCAAGGGUCAAGCAUUCAGCAUAACUUGAAGCAAUCAAGAGGCGUGAUAAUAUGAUUAUUAUGGCAUGAUUCACAAUAGCCAAAUUAUGCAAUCAGUGCAGGUGCCCACCAGUGGAUGAAUAGAUAAAGGAAAUGUGGUAUAUAUGCCUAAUGGAGUAUUAAUCAGACUUAAAGAAGAAUGAAAUCAUGUCCUUUGCAGGAAAAUGGAUGGUGCUGGAGAUCAUCAUGUCAAGUGAAUAACCCAGAUUCAGACAGGUUCACAUGUUUUCACUCAUAUGUAGAAUCUAGGGAAGGAGAAAGAGAAGGAUAAGAGGAAGGAGGAAAGACAACAUGAAAGUAGAAAGGUGGAUUGUUACAAUUUAGAUAUGAAGUGUCCCCCAGAGAUUCGUGUGUUUAGGGCUUGGUCCCCAAUGCAGCAAUGUUCAGAGGCUGGGCAAUUGGGAAGUGAUAGGAUCGUGAGGGCUUUGACCUUAUCAAUGUAUUAAUCCACUGACAGCUGAAGGAUGAUUGGGAGGUGGCGGAGACUGUGGGAGCAGGGGCUAGUUGGAGGAAGUAGGUCACUGGGAGAGGGACUUGGAAAGGUGUUUCUCAUCCCCAUGCCUUUUCUCUUUCCUGGAUACCAUGAGGAGAGCAGCUUUCUUCCUCCAUGUCCUUCCACCAUGAUGUCCUGCCUCACCUCAGACCCAGAACAAUGGAGCCAGCUUCCCAUGGACUGAGACCUCUGAAAUCGUAACUCAGCUCCAUCCCAAUCGUCCCUAUAGCUUGGCGUGAGACUCUGGCAUCUGUAAAGCAAAUCUUAGGGGCCACUGAUGUGGGCAAGAGGGAAGGUCCUGCACUGAAAUUCCUUCACCAUCACAUUAUGUAGGACUGGUAACCAGAGCCCCUUCAUGUUUCUAGCAGAAGUCACAGAAGAAAUUGCACUGAAGAAUAAAGUUUAGAUCAGACAUAGUUCACUACUUUUUAAACAAAUUGUUUAGGUCCAGGACAAGGCUGUUUGUACACCAGAUAAAAAAAAAACUGAGUUCCAUGGAGCCAAAUGAUUGCCCCAAAGAGUACAGAGUCAACAAGUAGCAUAUCUUCUUUAAAUAAUGAGAAAUCUCAUUCCCCCCACUGGAAUGAAGUACAUGUAUGAAGACAUGAAUGGUGUGAAUAUACUUUGUAUCCAAACAGAGAUAUGAAAAAAUGUGCUCUAUUUGUGUAAUAUGAAUUGUAAUGCAUUGUGCUGCCAUAUAUAGCAAAUUAGAAAAAAAAAAAAAUAACUCAUAAAAUGGAUCAGCUACUUUAAUAAUAAUGAAAAAUUUGAUGGGUGGACUCUGACUUCCUCCCUAUCAUAUUCAAACCUGAGCAUAUUUGUAUUCUUGUCUGAAAAAGAAAAUUUGGUGGUUGUUUUAAAGCCUCUUAUUUGAAUAUGAGAAAUUUUUAUAUAGCAUAUUAGAAAAACAGAAAUAGGACAUAAGUGAUCUUUUCUUCUUCAAGAAGCCUGGGGUGUGAUGGAAAGAACUGCAGGUGAACACUAGUGCUCCCAUCUACAUGUGUGGAAAGUUGGGCAAGUUGCUUGAACUUCCUGGAUAUUACUAAAAAUAAACCUGAAGCUACAUAUCUUGAAGUGUUUUAUAUUUAAAAAGAGUAUGUAUGGGUGAUACUACAGCCUGGACAGAGAAGAAAUGCAAUAAGUGUUAGUUACUGAAGUGUGUGAAUUCAGGAGCUGCAUAGGGGUUGAUUUCCGUCCUGUUCACCUAAAAAAUAAAUCUCAUCCUGUCUUCUACACUCUGGUGGGAGAGGUGUGACUCACCCUUGCUACACUCUUCUUUGCAGUUUGGCUCUGGGCUGGUGUGGCUAAUCUUUUCCCCAGACUUCUUGUUUCUACUUUCUCUUAGUAUCAGCUUAAAUUGAAUCAAUUCAGGAGCUUUGUAUUUUAGAUUGUGCACAGAGAGAAUUUCAAUCAAUAUCCUUAUAAUUGUAUAAUUGGCUCAUUUUGUAUAUUUGAAUGCAAAAUGACUUUGGGUCAAAAGGUAUGCAUUAUUUGUGAAUUUGACAAUUUCUGCCAAAUGCUCUCCUUUAUAUGUUUACCAAUUUAUCAUCUCUUGCCAAUGUAGGAGAGGUCUGUUUUCUCUCUUUGCCAACAGUGUGAUUUAA